AUGUACCACGCGCGUACACUGCCGUUCCUGCGCGCCGUGAGCACGCACCUGACGACUGCUCGCUACGUUUUGUUAGCC
rnacentral:sRNA from 1 species